rnacentral:lncRNA from 1 species
UCCAGCACCCUGAAUAUGUUCAUGAGUAUGGAAUUAUGUCAAAUUCAAACACAUAUUCAUAUCGAUUCUCAAUUAUCCAAUGAUGACUCUAAUGAAGAAACAUUAAAAUUUUUUUCUAAUCUUCUACCCACUUUUGGCCAAAAGAUUUUUUUUGAGUCAUUUAUGAAUGAGAAUACACAGAAUGUGAUCUCCUCUUACUAGGAGCAAUCGAUUCCAUGAUGACUUACUCACAACCUUCGUACACACUCCUACCAUAUCCAGAAC